rnacentral:rRNA from 1 species
UACGUAGGGUGCGAGCGUUGUCCGGAAUUAUUGGGCGUAAAGGGCUCGUAGGCGGUUUGUCGCGUCGGGAGUGAAAACCAGGUGCUUAACACCUGGCUUGCUUUCGAUACGGGCAGACUAGAGGUAUUCAGGGGAGAACGGAAUUCCUGGUGUAGCGGUGAAAUGCGCAGAUAUCAGGAGGAACACCGGUGGCGAAGGCGGUUCUCUGGGAAUGACCUGACGCUGAGGAGCGAAAGUGUGGGGAGCAAACAGG